AAUUAAAACAGAGGGGCGUCAAUACUAUGGAUAUUUCAAGUCUCCAGGGAGCUCUGCUUGGAAGGAAAGAGACGGCAGAGCGCCUGCAGCAGAACUAAAGCUUCAGCUCACUGAAUUCUCUUCUUUUUCCUCCCACUUCUGCAAGAACACCCUUCAGACCACCGUUGCUUCAGCCAUAGAAGUGAUGUAGUCAAGGUCCACGAGUCCACGUGAGAGCUCAGACAGGGAGGAGGAGGAGGAGGAGACCCAAGUGGCCGCUUUCUCAGUGCUGAGGACUAUGUGCCCUGCUGCCAACCCCAGCACCGGGCUCCUCCACCUCCCAUGGGGCUCCCUGUGCUGUGAGUGACCGCAUCCAUCCCUGCACCACGUCCUCCAGACAGAGCCAUGCUGCAGCUCGGGGCAUUCUCCAAAGAAAUUGCUUUCUCGUGACUAAAUGUUAGCACAGAGAAUGAACGAAGAAAGACCACAAAUUUACUUAAAAUUCAUCACUGGCUCCCCAGCACAGGGGAAAGUCUGGGGUCGGUGUCAUGUCCUGCAGCGGAUGCAGGAAGAUUGGCUGCUUGUGUUCACAGAAUCCUUAAGGUUGGAAAACACCACAAAGACCAUCUAGUGCAACCACGUUGGGGUGGUCUGCUCGGACACAUCUCCUAAGAGCUUCAAACUUUCCACAGUUUCCUUAUCCUUGUCCCUGAGGGAAAGCACCAGGGACACCAAGGCACAGAGUCCUUGUAGGCAUGGCUGGCUGCCAGCCACCCUUGUCCUCUGGUUAAUAGAGGAGCAAAUGGAAUGAUUGUAGGUGCUAUUUGCAUCUCACCAUUUGGGACCUGGCCAUCGCUGCUUUCAUCCACCAAUCUUGGAAGGAGGUGUUGCUGCCCUGCUGACAACUCACCCGCUCCCACCAGAGGAACCCUGAGGGCUGGGAUGCACAUUGCUUUCUGCCCUGGGGCUGUAAGCAGGAACAGCAGUUUGGUGAUUUCCUUGGCUCUGUGUUGCUUGUCACUGGAGCAGCCGGGGCUGGGUGGAAGAGAGUGGCUGCACAUCUUUCUGCUCCUGGUGGCUCUUACUGUUAAAAGCCAGCCCUGUGCCACGGACUGGCCCAGCCCUUCAGGUGGUAGACAACCUGCUUCAGCAGCAGCUUUGUUCAGAAUUUAUCGGGCUGCAGCUGGGAAUCUUUCCCUUUGAUCCAUCUCUGCUAUUAAACAGCUUCUGAUAAUGCCGCCGAGUUCACAUCAAGGAGGGGAAGCCGAGCAACCUCAAUUUUGGAGCUGGGCAGCAGCGGGGAGCCCGUCUUAAAGCUGCAUCACCUCACUGGCUUCAAAAGCGAAGGAGCUCCUUUUAUUGCAGCGUGCUGCACUCCAGGAAUGAUUAAAGUCCUGUAAACGCGCACCUUCCUCAUCACAGAGCUGUCUGCAGGCAGGGUGCCAAGUACAACAAGCCCAAUCCAAAGCAUCAUCCCCUCCGUGGGGCUAAUGGUUGUUGCCUUGUCUCCUGAACAAGAAGAGUGGUAAGGGAAAGUAGAGCCUGGAGACACGCACACACAUCCCUGUAUGGAAAGAAUCCCUGAAAGAGAACUGAAAAGCAAUUGAGGAGUCAGCCUAUGGGCUACAGACAAAGCGCAGAGCGAAGGAGAUAACCGGCAGUGAGCGCUGGGAAAUAAUGCCCUAAAUUCCCUCUGAGCCCAUUCAUCACCGUGGCUUCGGCGAUCAUCUCAGCAACAAAUUCCCUUAUCAUCCGGUUGGAAUUCAACGUUAAUGACCUGUCUGUUAUUUCAGAGGGAGAUGGACUGGAACCGGAGGGUAAUUGGUAGGAAAAAUCGCCGGGUACAGCAAAGAGCUGAUGCUAUUGGAGUAGUUACACCAUGAGAGAGGGAGAUUAAGGAGCUCUGCUCACCACAAGGGGCUUAUUCAUCCUGAAUAAAUGUGUUAACUGCCCAGAGCUGUCCUCCUAC
ensembl:lncRNA